AUCCAGAUGACGAGUCCCAAAUAGGACGAAACGCGCGUUCCUUGAU
rnacentral:hammerhead_ribozyme from 1 species